AAUCCAUGCAUCAUACAUUUCUAAAGUAAUUCAUUAAAUCAUUCCCAAGCAUCAUAUAGCGUUUCAUCCUCCGAUUACUUAAAAUAUGUGAUGUCAUUUCUAAGCUU
rfam:Gossypium raimondii chromosome 13, whole genome shotgun sequence.